ensembl:sense_intronic Gm26967 predicted gene, 26967
GACACCUUGUAAUCCCAGAGCUGGGGAAGUGGAAAUGGGCAGGUAAUGGGGCUAGCAAGCCAUCGAGGCUAGCCCAUUUGGUAAUUUCUAGGCUAGUGAGAGGCCUCAUUUGAAAAAAAAAAAACGGUGACCACAGAAUAUGUGUGGUUGAUCUCUGUGCCUCUAAAUGCACACGCACACAAGCAUGUACAUACAUGCACAUAAACAAGAAAGACUGCAGGUAUUAGAGCAAAGGUGGGGUUUCUACCCAGUACUUUCUCUCGAACCGUCAUUCAUUGCUUUAUUUGAUGACCAAUCUAUUUGCAAACCCAUUUACUGACACCUUACCAUGGUGAUGAAGAUGUCUGGAGAAUCAUGUACCUUAGCAUGUGACAUGGCUGAUCCUAAUUUUUAAGUGUAAAUAAUUAUGGGAUGUGUAAACAGAUACUAGAUAGACUGGGGCAGCGGGUGGAUGGGUGGACUCACUGAUGGAUGGAAGAAUGGAUGGAUGUUACAAUACUGGGUAAGCCUGAAGGAGCUCAGCAGGAGGGCACUGAGAUAGCUCAGUGGGUGAAGGCAUUUGCUGCCAAGACUGAACCCGAGUUCAAUUCCCACAACCCACAGGGUAGAAGAGGGCACUCGGUGCCUGUGAGCUGUUCUCUGACCUCCACAAGCAAGCUGUGGCACACACUCUUGAAUAAUUCAUAAAUUAAGUGUAACAAAAGAACUGAGAGCAACCUCUACCAUGCCAGUAGAAUGGCACCAUGGUACAUGUGUUGAGGGGCAGACUCAGAAAGCAGGCACUGCCUUUUACACGGUUUGACACUUCUGAAGCUUUCUUCUAAGAAGCGAGCACAAGAAAAGUCCAGGAGCUAAAUAAGCCAAACAAAUGAGCCAGCCCACUUCAGGAGAUGGAGAGCAAGUAGGGGGUUUAGCUUUGAACAAACCUAACAGAAUCGUGCUGCCUGCCGGAGCUAAAAAAUAAGAACUUAGGAGCAAGGGAAUGCAAGCUCAUUGCAGUUCUCAAGAUGCUCACAAGAGGGCGUGAGAGAGACACUGGGCGGGCUGGCUAGGAAAGCGCUUCAGAGGGAACUUUAUGUAACAGACCAGGCAGGGCAAUAGUCCAAAUGGAGGGUAGUGUGCGGAACCAGAGGAGGGAUGUGGCAAGAGGGAUGGGAUCUGAUUGCUAGGGAUGCUGAGCAAUGAUCCUCAACAACAGGGGUUCAUCCAUCCCACGCAAGGGGUAGAUGAUGUCUUGGCUCCAGGGAGACGGUGAAGAAUGAAGCAGGCCUGGUGUAGUUUGCGCAAAUAUACACCUGCUUGUGGCAUCGCUCAGGUGCUAGCUUGCCCUUCCUUGUUGAAGGACAACUGAGACCUGAUUCCAUUGAGAGAUGACAAGAUGAUUGUGGUGUGGCUUCUACACUCUACGUGAGGUUGGUGGAGAAGGUACUGAAGGACUCCUGUGUCUGGGAUGUGACAAUGAGUUGUGAGACCACCUUUGCCAUGCAGGAGGUUUCCAUCUCCUCUUCCAGGAAGUCUUCCCUGACUGACUGCCCAGUCUGCUGCUCAGCUGUGUUCCCACGAUAUCUGCAUUCUGAUCAAGAAGUUGCCUCACACGAUCGCACUAUCUGCUUUGAAGAGCACCACCAAGACACGGGUGAUCUAAGCUCCAUCCUUGGGCUCCAGCAUCUGCAACCAAAUCCAUGCCUUUCGCCCCGGCAGCAGCCAAUCCCUCUCGUCCAGCCUCAGUUUCCUGAUCUUAAAAUGGGGCACAUGAAAUCUCUACCACUCCAGGCUGCUAGGAAGAUGAAGCAAUGUUUGCAGAGCACAGGGCCUGAUAGGUCCCUGAAGCCAACGCUGCCUUCCAGGGGCCUUUUAUGCUUCUCAACAGCCCAGCCUGGCAAUGAUUUUUACUGCUGUCGCCCAGCAAAGUGGACUAAUUUCUACACAGCAUCCUAGCUGGGUCUGGCAAGAUGGCUCAGCAGGUAAAGGUGCUUGCUGGCAAGCCUGGCAACACGAGUUUGAUCCCUGAAACCCUCAUGUUGGACUCCAAGAAGCUAUCCUCUGACCUUCACACAAGCUCUGUGGUACCUGCGCACUGACACACAUAAAUACAUACACUGAAAUAUUGAUUUUUUUUUUUUUUACAAAGAGAAUACUCAGGUUAGUAAGCAAUAAAGGCAGGGAAGAUUUUUCUGGAAAGGGAUAUGCAGUAGGUAUUCUAGCCUUAUGAGGCAAAAAACCUAUCACACCUACCUACUCUGCUAUGCACUAUGUGAACAGGAAUGGCUGUAUUCCAAUAAAGUUUUAUUUAUAAAAUCCAA